UUGGAGGGCAAGUCUGGUGCCAGCAGCCGCGGUAAUUCCAGCUCCAAUAGCGUAUAUUAAAGUUGUUGCAGUUAAAAAGCUCGUAGUUGAACUUCGGGGUUUACCCAUUGGUCAGGCUUAAUUGUCUGUACUGGUGAGAUAAAUCUCUACCUUCUGAGGAACUUUCAUGUCAUUAAUUUGGUGUGAUUGGAAAUCAGGACUGUUACUUUGAAAAAAUUAGAGUGUUUAAAGCAGGCUAACGUCUGAAUACAUUAGCAUGGAAUAAUGAAAUAGGACGUUCGAUCCUAUUUUGUUGGUUUCUAGGAUUGACGUAAUGAUUAAUAGGGAUAGUUGGGGGCAUUAGUAUUCAAUUGUCAGAGGUGAAAUUCUUGGAUUUAUUGAAGACUAACUACUGCGAAAGCAUUUGCCAAGGAUGUUUUCACUAAUCAAGAACGAAAGUUAGGGGAUCGAAGACGAUCAGAUACCGUCGUAGUCUUAACCAUAAACUAUGCCGACUAGGGAUCGGAUGAUGUUAAUUUUUUAAUGACUCAUUCGGCGCCUUACGGGAAAC
rnacentral:rRNA from 1 species